rnacentral:lncRNA from 1 species
UGAGGAGAGAUUCCUGACCAUGCUGCACGUCCUGAGAUCCUCUUCCUGUGACGAUGACACCACAGAGCUCACCGCUGUGACCUGAGAAGCAAGCACUCAUCCACAACAACAGGGUGUAAACUGGUUGUCAUCUUUAAUACAAACGUGUUGUCCUGGAAAUGAAUAUGUAAAUUGGCAUUCUUGUUUUUCCAGAAAACGUAAGUCUUUGUGAAUUUCCUCUGUAGAACAGAAGAACUUGAUGUCUGGAACUAGGUAAACAGUCAAAGGUCUGGCCUCAGUCUGAACCCUCCUGUAUGAAGGUAGAAGGAAAAUGUCUGCAUGGCAGGUCGAGUUAAGGCAGGCAGAGCUCUGAGGUGAGAUGGUUUGUUUCUUAGGGAUGAAUGCUUGUGGAAGGUAAGAGAAGGGAGCUGGUCGGGCAGAGGAAGGUCCAAAAGGUUUUGUCUGACAUAGCACAGAAUUCUGGGAUAAUA